rnacentral:rRNA from 1 species
UGGCUGUCGUCAGCUCGUGCCGUGAGGUGUCGGGUUAAGUCCGUAACGAGCGCAACCCUUGUCCUUAGUUACCAGCACGUUAUGGUGGGCACUCUAAGGAGACUGCCGGUGACAAACCGGAGGAAGGUGGGGAUGACGUCAAGUCAUCAUGGCCCUUACGGCCUGGGCUACACACGUGCUACAAUGGUCGGUACAAAGGGUUGCCAAGCCGCGAGGUGGAGCUAAUCCCAUAAAACCGAUCGUAGUCCGGAUCGCAGUCUGCAACUCGACUGCGUGAAGUCGGAAUCGCUAGUAAUCGUGAAUCAGAAUGUCACGGUGAAUACGUUCCCGGGCCUU